GUGGGGAAUAUUGGGCAAUGGGGGAAACCCUGACCCAGCGACGCCGCGUGAGGGAAGAAGGCCUUAGGGUCGUAAACCUCUGUUGUGUGGGAAGAAGAGCGUGACGGUACCACACGAGGAAGUCCCGGCUAACUACGUGCCAGCAGCCGCGGUAAUACGUAGGGGACGAGCGUUGUCCGGAUUUACUGGGCGUAAAGGGCGCGUAGGCGGUCAUUUAAGUCAGCUGUGAAAUGGUGCGGCUUAACCGCAUCAUGCGGUUGAAACUGGAUGACUGGAGUGCUGGAGAGGCAAGUGGAAUUCCCAGUGUAGCGGUGAAAUGCGUAGAUAUUGGGAAGAACACCGGUGGCGAAGGCGACUUGCUGGCCAGCAACUGACGCUGAGGCGCGAAAGCCAGGGGAGCAAACGGGAUUAGAAACCCUGGUAGUCC
rnacentral:rRNA from 1 species